CUUAUUAUUAUUCUGUGACGAUACGCUUGCGGGGCGCGGGCGGCGCGGCGCUCAAGCGGCCUCGCCUCGGCGCCGCCGGCGUCGCGCGCAAGCUGCACGGACUGAUGACCGACCGCCAGGCUGUCUAGCGGCACAUCAAAUCAUUUACCACAUGCGAGAAGCGAAGAAGUUCAAUGAAGUUUUACAGAAGUCUUUUUAGU